rnacentral:rRNA from 1 species
UACGUAGGGGCGAGCGUUGUCCGGAUUUAUUGGGCGUAAAGAGCGUGUGGGCGGCCAGGUAGGUCGGUUGUGAAAACUGGAGGCUCAACCUUCAGAGGUCGACCGAAACCAUCUGGCUAGAGUCCGGGAGAGGAGAGUGGAAUUCCUGGUGUAGCGGUGAAAUGCGCAGAUAUCAGGAAGAACACCCGUGGCUAAGGCGGCUCUCUAGUACGGUACUGACGCUGAGACGCGAAAGCGUGGGGAGCGAACAGG